CUUGCGUUGAGUGAGUGCGCCGCUCUCCAGCCCGCUUGAACGCUCCCCGCAGCCACCGCCACCCAUUGGAAUGGCCAACAGGGGACCUGCGUAUGGCCUGAGCCGGGAGGUGCAGCAGAAGAUUGAGAAACAAUAUGAUGCAGAUCUGGAGCAGAUCCUGAUCCAGUGGAUCACCACUCAGUGCCGAAAGGAUGUGGGCCGGCCCCAGCCUGGACGCGAGAACUUCCAGAACUGGCUCAAGGAUGGCACGGUGCUAUGUGAGCUCAUUAAUGCACUGUACCCCGAGGGGCAGGCCCCAGUAAAGAAGAUCCAGGCCUCCACCAUGGCCUUCAAGCAGAUGGAGCAGAUCUCUCAGUUCCUUCAAGCAGCUGAGCGCUAUGGCAUUAACACCACUGACAUCUUCCAAACUGUGGACCUCUGGGAAGGAAAGAACAUGGCCUGUGUGCAGCGGACGCUGAUGAAUCUGGGUGGGCUGGCAGUAGCCCGGGAUGAUGGGCUCUUCUCUGGGGAUCCCAACUGGUUCCCUAAGUAAGUAUUGCUGGGACAGCCGCAGGGUCCAGCAGGUGCAUUGUUUCUGCCCAGUCCUGUCCCUGGGAAAUAACCUAUCUCAGUAGCAGCUGGCCCUUUACAAAGCACUUUCAGAAAAUUCCUCAUCUCACUUAAUCCUCACAACACCCUCUGGGAUGGCAAAUGACUGUCCCUUUGGACAGAUGAGGAGGUGGCUUCAGAGAGCUUAUGGCUCUUGAGGGCAGAGCUGGCACCAGCAGCAAAGUCUGUGCUCUGUCCAAGGAAGGGAUUUACUAGGGCAGCCUGUGAUCUCCUCUAACCACCACUCCCUUGUCACCCAGGAAAUCCAAGGAGAAUCCUCGGAACUUCUCGGAUAACCAGCUGCAAGAGGGCAAGAACGUGAUCGGGUUACAGAUGGGCACCAACCGUGGGGCGUCUCAGGCAGGCAUGACUGGCUACGGGAUGCCACGCCAGAUCCUCUGAUCCUACCCCAGGCCUUGCCCCUGCCCUCCCACGAAUGGUUAAUAUAUAU
rnacentral:sRNA from 1 species